rnacentral:tRNA from 1 species
GGGUGUAUAGCUCAGUGGUAGAGCACAUGUUUAGCAUGCACAAGGUCCUGGGUUCAAUCUCCAGUACCUCCA